GACUCGCCAUGGUCUCCGCAGCUACCAGGUAAGGCUGUCGGAGACACCGCCGUGGCCAGCGGCGCGGCGAGUCCGGCUCGAGCGCAUCUCGCGUGCUGAGCGUAGAGAAGCGGUGGAGAGGCCGAAGCCCAGAGAGCCUUCCUCGGUGGGCCCAGCUCGGGCCCUUGCUCCGGAGUCCGGCUUGGCGUUUUCUGGUUGGGGAGCUGCUCCUUCGCUGAGCUGUGAGCCUCGGUUUGCGCCGCUGCAAGUGGGUGUAGGCAGGCGGUGGACCCAGUUUCCCCGACUCUCCUCGGUGCGUGUCAGCCCCGCCCCGUGCAGGCUGGCAGCACCUGUCAGGGUUCAGAGUUAGGGAAGCAGGUACUCUCUUUUCGGAAGCAGGGCAGGGGUAGCCACUGUGGAUCUCUUACUCCUCCCGCCCUGGCUCUGCCACUUCCCGAGCUGUGCUGCUUGGGCUUGCGUCCUGAACUGUAACUUUGGGAAUGAUGCGUCCACUCCUGAGGCUGUCGUGACGCGUAAUGAGAUUGCGCGUGGCGCGUGGACCAUACUCAGCUAGCGUGUGGCACAGAAUAGGUAGUCAACAAAUGGUCCUACCCAUAGAGCCUUUCUUCAGUUCCCUUUCCUACAGUGAUUUGACAGUUGACUAGAUACUUUUUUGUUUGUUAGCUUUUCAGCCGCGCCGAGGCAUGCCAGAAGUUCCCAGGCCCAGGAUCCCAUCCUGUCACUGCGCCACAGCAGUGACAACCCCGGGUCCUUAAACGCUAGGCCGCCGGGGAACUCCUAGCAGUUUUUAUUAUUAUUUUCUUUUUUUGCCUUUUCUAGGGCCGCUCCCGAGGCAUAUGGAGGUUCCUAGGCUCAGGGUCGAAUCAGAGCUGUAGCCACCAGCCUACACCAGAGCCACAGCAAUGCGGGAUCCGAGCUGCGUCAGCAACCUACACCACAGCUCACAGCAACCCCAGAUCCUUAACCCACUGAGCAAGGCCAGGGAUUGAACCCGCAACCUCAUGGUUCCUAAUCGGAUUUGCUAAACACUGAACCACAACGGGAACUCCUGACAAUUUAUUUUUAAAAUAACUUUUGGGCGUCAUAUACACGUAUGUUUCUUGAACAUGAUACUUCUCAGAGUUCUCUUGUGGUGCAAUGGGUUAAGGAUGCAGCGUCGUCACUGCAGCAGAUUGGGUUGCUGCUGUGGCGCAGUUUCUGUCCCUGGCCUGGGAACUUCGAGCUGCUACAUGCAUGGCCAAUACCCCCCAAAACUUGCUCUUCUUAGUGGAAUUACAAAGACGUGUGUUUUUCUUCUUUCAGCCUGUGUGUGGGGAAAACAAAGAGGAAGUCAGUUUCUAGAGAAGUGGUAGAUAGAGGAGUUCCCAUUGUGGCUCAUUGGUAAUGAACCUGACUGGUAACCACGAGGAUGAGGGUUUGGAAAAGACUUCUUUCCCUAUUUAUUUAUUUAUUUAUUUAUUUUAUUUAUUUAUUUUUACUGCCUAUAUUUAGGGUAGUAUACCUAGGAAUAGACUCUGUAAGCCUGGACAUAAAAGGGCUGGAUGUUGGGGGGGUUCUUGUAUUACUCCUCUGAUUUUAUCAUAAUUAACUUUUUUUUUUUUUUUUUCCUUUUUAGUCUUGCAGUCAAGGCAUAGGGAAGUUCCUUGGCUAGGGGUCGAAUCGGAGUACAGCUGUUGGCCUACUCCACAGCAACAGCAACAUGAGAUCCAAGCUGCGUCUGCAACCUACACCACAGCUCACCACAAUGCCGGAUCCUGAACCCACUGAGUGAGGCCAGGGCCCAAACCCACAUUCUCAUGGAUACUAGUUGGGCUCGUUACCACUGAGCCACAAUGGGAACUUCCCAUAAUUAACUAUUUUUAAUGAGGACGUCCAUAUCCCUUCUAUUAGGCAAGAGAUAAAGUGGCCUCUCCUGUGUCUGGGGAGUCUACCUGCUCGUUCCAAUUAGGCUCCACAUGAAGGACAGUAGAGUUUACUGGAUCGUUAGUGGGGUCUUGAGUAUGUAAGGUGUCUGCAUGGGCUUGGGCUGCCAGCCAGAUUCGUUCCUUUGGGGGAGAGAGUAGAGCUGAGCAUAGCAUAGAUAUCUUGCCAGGUUAAAUCAGAAGAGGGGAACUCCUGUCAUGGCGGAUUCGUUAACCACUGCGCCACGACGGGAACUCCUAUUUAUUUAUUUUUAAGGCCCCAUCUGCCGCAUAUAAAAGUUCCCAGGCUAGGGGUCAGAUUGGAGCUGUAGCUGAGGACCACACCACAGCCACAGCAACGCCAGAUGAGCUGCAUCUGCAACCAGAGCUGCAGGCUGCACCAACGCCAGAUCCUUAACCCACUGAGCAAGGCCAGGGAUUGAACCUGCAUCCUCACAGAUACCAUGUUGAGUUUUAACCUGCUGGGCCCCAUGGGGACUCCUGUAAAUUUGACUUUAAAAUGUGUUUGCCUUUGCCUCCUUCGUGGCUAAGCUUAUUAAUGCUAAUAUGACCAGAAAGAUCUUUGUUAUUUUACAGCGUUUAUUGACUUUCUGGUUUAAAUGCGUUUUGUUUUUUUAAUUUAUUUAUUUUUGGCCACACUCGUGGCAUGCCCAAGUUCCCAGGUCAGGCACUGAACCUGCACCACAGCAGUGACAGUGCCGGGUCCUUAACAGCUGGGCCACCAGGGAGCUCCAGUGCGGUUUUAAAAGCAAUGGUCUUCGUGCGGUUACACACUCUUAACAGUGAACAUGGUGAAAAUAAAGCGAGUGUCCGUCGCGGCGCAGCGAAAGCGAAUCUGACCAGGAACCGUGAGGUCGCAGGUCCGAUCUCGGGCCUCACUCAGUGGGGGAAGGAUCCGGCGUGGCCGUGGCUGUGGUGGAGGCCGGCAGCUGGAGCUCCCAUUCCACCCCUAGCCUGGGAACCUCCAUAUGCUGCAGGCGCGGCUGUAAAAAGAAAAAAAAAUAACAGACAUUUUCAAUUUAGGACAUUUUUUUCUCUUCAUAUAGGCUCUGGAAUUUGCAAAAUGGUUUUUUAAGCCUGAAAGGGCUCAGAGAAAUAAGGAGGGACGUGUCUCUGGGGAAAGUUAAAUCUGCCGGCAGCGCUUGGUGGAAUAAAUAGGCGGAUGGAUGGCUCACUGCGGACCUGCCCCGAGGAGACACAGCUGUGUCCUCAGGGGGCUCUCUGGAAGGCCUGGCAAGAGCAGGCGACGGGGCGCGGGCUGGGCUAUUUUAAGUGCAGGCUUAGAAGCCGGCCCUGGAUAAACUUUCUCAGUGAUUGCUCCUCCCUUCCCUUCAGUCCUUCCAGCUGCGAAGUCCGCGCCAUGAGAUUUCUGGCUUUAAAAAUCGCUGCACCACAAGUUUAAGUAGAAGCAUUAUAAAAAACUGCUUUAGAAAAAAAAAAAAAA
rnacentral:tRNA from 1 species